rnacentral:rRNA from 1 species
AGCUUGCUGCUUCGCUGACGAGUGGCGGACGGGUGAGUAAUGUCUGGGAAACUGCCUGAUGGAGGGGGAUAACUACUGGAAACGGUAGCUAAUACCGCAUAACGUCGCAAGACCAAAGAGGGGGACCUUCGGGCCUCUUGCCAUCGGAUGUGCCCAGAUGGGAUUAGCUAGUAGGUGGGGUAACGGCUCACCUAGGCGACGAUCCCUAGCUGGUCUGAAAGGAUGACCAGCCACACUGGAACUGAGACACGGUCCAGACUCCUACGGGAGGCAGCAGUGGGGAAUAUUGCACAAUGGGCGCAAGCCUGAUGCAGCCAUGCCGCGUGUAUGAAGAAGGCCUUCGGGUUGUAAAGUACUUUCAGCGGGGAGGAAGGCGAUAAGGUUAAUAACCUUGUCGAUUGACGUUACCCGCAGAAAAAGCACCGGCUAACUCCGUGCCACCAGCCGCGGUAAUACGUAGGUGGCAAGCGUUGUCCGGAAUUACUGGGCGUAAAGCGCACGCAGGCGGUCUGUCAAGUCGGAUGUGAAAUCCCCGGGCUCAACCUGGGAACUGCAUUCGAAACUGGCAGGCUAGAGUCUUGUAGAGGGGGGUAGAAUUCCAGGUGUACCUGUGAAAAUGCGUAGAGAUCUGGAGGAAUACCGGUGGCGAAGGCGGCCCCCUGGACAAAGAGUGACGCUCAGUGCGAAAGCGUGGAGAGCAAACCGGAUUACAUACCCUGGUAUUCACGCCGUGACGAUGUCGACUUGGAGGUUGUUCCUUGAAGCGUGGCUUCAGAGCUACGCGGUAGUCGACAGCCUGGG